CGCGUUAUAUGCCAAUUAUUGUCACACAUCGAAUCAUCCGUUGCCGUGUGUCUUUUAAUUAUUUUUGUACUUUGCCCUUAAUUAACAAGCCCGAAUGAUUAUUCGGGCUUUUUUCAUUUAUACC
rnacentral:sRNA from 15 species